GCGGUAACAGAAAGUAGCUUGCUACUUUGCUGACGAGCGGCGGACGGGUGAGUAAUGCUUGGGAACAUGCCUUGAGGUGGGGGACAACAGUUGGAAACGACUGCUAAUACCGCAUAAUGUCUACGGACCAAAGGGGGCUUCGGCUCUCGCCUUUAGAUUGGCCCAAGUGGGAUUAGCUAGUUGGUGAGGUAAUGGCUCACCAAGGCGACGAUCCCUAGCUGGUUUGAGAGGAUGAUCAGCCACACUGGGACUGAGACACGGCCCAGACUCCUACGGGAGGCAGCAGUGGGGAAUAUUGCACAAUGGGCGCAAGCCUGAUGCAGCCAUGCCGCGUGUGUGAAGAAGGCCUUCGGGUUGUAAAGCACUUUCAGUCAGGAGGAAAGGUUAACGGUUAAUACCCGUUAGCUGUGACGUUACUGACAGAAGAAGCACCGGCUAACUCCGUGCCAGCAGCCGCGGUAAUACGGAGGGUGCGAGCGUUAAUCGGAAUUACUGGGCGUAAAGCGUACGCAGGCGGUUUGUUAAGCGAGAUGUGAAAGCCCCGGGCUCAACCUGGGAACUGCAUUUCGAACUGGCAAACUAGAGUGUGAUAGAGGGUGGUAGAAUUUCAGGUGUAGCGGUGAAAUGCGUAGAGAUCUGAAGGAAUACCGAUGGCGAAGG
rnacentral:rRNA from 1 species